GACGACGCUGCGGCGUGCCUAAUACAUGCAAGUCGAGCGGACAGAUGGGAGCUUGCUCCCUGAUGUUAGCGGCGGACGGGUGAGUAACACGUGGGUAACCUGCCUGUAAGACUGGGAUAACUCCGGGAAACCGGGGCUAAUACCGGAUGCUUGAUUGAACCGCAUGGUUCAAUUAUAAAAGGUGGCUUUUAGCUACCACUUACAGAUGGACCCGCGGCGCAUUAGCUAGUUGGUGAGGUAACGGCUCACCAAGGCGACGAUGCGUAGCCGACCUGAGAGGGUGAUCGGCCACACUGGGACUGAGACACGGCCCAGACUCCUACGGGAGGCAGCAGUAGGGAAUCUUCCGCAAUGGACGAAAGUCUGACGGAGCAACGCCGCGUGAGUGAUGAAGGUUUUCGGAUCGUAAAACUCUGUUGUUAGGGAAGAACAAGUACCGUUCGAAUAGGGCGGUACCUUGACGGUACCUAACCAGAAAGCCACGGCUAACUACGUGCCAGCAGCCGCGGUAAUACGUAGGUGGCAAGCGUUGUCCGGAAUUAUUGGGCGUAAAGCGCGCGCAGGCGGUUUCUUAAGUCUGAUGUGAAAGCCCCCGGCUCAACCGGGGAGGGUCAUUGGAAACUGGGGAACUUGAGUGCAGAAGAGGAGAGUGGAAUUCCACGUGUAGCGGUGAAAUGCGUAGAGAUGUGGAGGAACACCAGUGGCGAAGGCGACUCUCUGGUCUGUAACUGACGCUGAGGCGCGAAAGCGUGGGGAGCGAACAGGAUUAGAUACCCUGGUAGUCCACGCCGUAAACGAUGAGUGCUAAGUGUUAGAGGGUUUCCGCCCUUUAGUGCUGCAGCAAACGCAUUAAGCACUCCGCCUGGGGAGUACGGUCGCAAGACUGAAACUCAAAGGAAUUGACGGGGGCCCGCACAAGCGGUGGAGCAUGUGGUUUAAUUCGAAGCAACGCGAAGAACCUUACCAGGUCUUGACAUCCUCUGACAACCCUAGAGAUAGGGCUUCCCCUUCGGGGGCAGAGUGACAGGUGGUGCAUGGUUGUCGUCAGCUCGUGUCGUGAGAUGUUGGGUUAAGUCCCGCAACGAGCGCAACCCUUGAUCUUAGUUGCCAGCAUUCAGUUGGGCACUCUAAGGUGACUGCCGGUGACAAACCGGAGGAAGGUGGGGAUGACGUCAAAUCAUCAUGCCCCUUAUGACCUGGGCUACACACGUGCUACAAUGGGCAGAACAAAGGGCAGCGAAGCCGCGAGGCUAAGCCAAU
rnacentral:rRNA from 1 species